rnacentral:lncRNA from 13 species
AUGACACUCCUAUAUUUGUCACACUCAUGUACUAAAUAUAUGGUCUCUAAUCUUUCCUCCAAUUGGUUCUGUCUAUUACAAAUGGUGAAUGAAUUGACUUCAGCUCCCAAGGACCAGGGAAGGAGAGUUGGAGACCACUUAUUUUAUAAAUCGUCCCAUAUUUCCUGGUGUCCAUUCCAUUCACUCCAUCGCUGCGAGACAAUGAAGGAUACACACACCCUGCUCAAUCUGCUUCUGCUGCUAGUGUACCUGGCAGGAUCAGCUGUGACCACUGAUGGAGGGAAGGACAGUACCGGUGGUCCCUUGGAACUAACCAUUUUGGGACCAGACUUUGUGACUGUGGGCGUGCCAUGCAGUUUUGACUGUACCGCCCAGUGCUCUCCUUCCUGUAGCUACAGAAUGAGUAUCGACGGGCAGAUUGGACAGGGGAACGAGCUGUUCUUCACAGCUCGCCAAUGGGAAGAGUCCCUAAACCUCACAUGCACCGCAAGGAAUGAUGACUCUGGGAGGUCCUCUACAGUAUCUAAGAUACUGCAGGUUUUAGCUGGACCAACCAACGUAUCAAUCACAGGCCCUGCCCUGAUGACCCCAGGGGCCCCUCAAAGUUUCCAGUGUAACGCCGACUGCCGUCAGUCCUGCAACUACACAUGGGGGAUAAAUGGCCGAUGGCUCGGGGGACAGGGGAACGAGAUUACUGUAACUCCCGAAGAAUUGGCCACCUCUGUUACCCUGAACUGCAAGGCCAUCAACAGUGUGUCUGGGCUCUAUGACAUGGCAACAAGGACAAUACCUGUGACAUGUGGUCCCUUGGAACUAACCAUUGUGGGACCAGACUUUGUGACUGUGGGCGUGCCAUGCAGUUUUGACUGUGCCGCCCAGUGCUCUCCUUCCUGUAGCUACAGAAUGAGUAUCGACGGGCAGAUUGGACAAGGCAACGAGCUGUUCUUCACAGCUCGCCAAUGGGAAGAGUCCCUAAACCUCACAUGCAUCGCAAGGAAUGAUGACUCUGGGAGGUCCUCUACAGUAUCUAAGAUACUGCAGGUUUUAGCUGGACCAACCAACGUAUCGAUCACAGGCCCUGACUUGAUGACCCAAGGGGCCCCACAAAGCUUCCAGUGUUACGCCGACUGCCGUCAGUCCUGCAACUACACAUGGGGGAUAAAUGGCCGAUGGCUCGGGGGACAGGGGAACGAGAUUACUGUAACUCCCGAAGAAUUGGCCACCUCUGUUACCCUGAACUGCAAGGCCAUCAACAGUGUGUCUGGGCUCUAUGACAUGGCAACAAGGACAAUACCUGUGACAUGUAGGUUUUUGGGAGAUUUAGAGCUUCCUCUAACAAUUGUAGUUUCCCUCUUGUUGUUAGUGUAA